GAUGAACGCUAGCUACAGGCUUAACACAUGCAAGUCGAGGGGCAGCAUGUCGGUUGCUUGCAACCGAUGAUGGCGACCGGCGCACGGGUGAGUAACGCGUAUCCAACCUGCCCCCUACCCGGGGAUAGCCUUGCGAAAGUAAGAUUAAUACCCGGUGCUGUUAUGAUCCCGCAUGGGGAUAUAACGAAAGAUUCAUCGGUAGGGGAUGGGGAUGCGUCCGAUUAGCUUGUUGGCGGGGUAACGGCCCACCAAGGCGACGAUCGGUAGGGGUUCUGAGAGGAAGGUCCCCCACAUUGGAACUGAGACACGGUCCAAACUCC
rnacentral:rRNA from 1 species